rnacentral:rRNA from 1 species
AUGGUGAAGUUCUCGCGGGAGUACGAGGCCAGCGUCAUCCCGGAGUGGAAAGGGGCCUUCGUCGACUACAAGGGACUCAAAAAGCUCAUCAAAAAGAUCAAGCUCGCACAGCGCGACGCCGACGGCAGCAGCUCGGGAGACUCCUCGUCGGAGGAGGCCGCCCUUGCCGCCGGUGUCGAGAGCGUCGGCUAUGGCGGUGGCUUCUCCGUGCUCGACCCCGUCCACGCCCUGGCCUCCCGGUUCUCCUCGGUGCGUGCUUUCACGCGUCAGGCGAUACGAAUAGAUAUAGUUGUUCGUGAUCCGUCUUGGCUGGCUACGUGCGUGCACGGUACUGAUCAUGAUGUGCAUUUUGACAUGCAGGAGGACGAGGAGAGCGGGGAUUCCGGGGAGCUCGUGCCAUCCACGGACAAGCAUGAGCGGGAGUUCCUGGAGAAGGCGGACGAGGAGCUGGAGAAGGUGAACACCUUCUACGCGACGAAGGAGGCGGAGCUGCUGGGCCGCGGCGAGGCGGUCAUCGACCAGCUGCGCAUCCUCGCCGACGUCAAGCGCAUCCUGGCCGAUCACGCCGCCACCCGUCGCGCCAGGGGCACACUCUCCAUGGUGGCACCGUCCUCGCCGGCGCUCAGCGGCUCCGGCCUGGCCACGCAGCAGUCCAUGUCAGAUGGGAGCGCGGAGCUGCAGCAGGCGCAGAUGACGGAGGGCGCGGCGGUGGCGGACGAGGUGAUGGCUGCGCUGGAGCGCAACGGCGUCAGCUUCGUGGGGCUGCCGGCGAAGAAGGACGCCAAGAAGGAGGGCAGCGGCAGGGGCGGGAGGCCGUCGACGGUGCGGAUCGACAUCCCGGCGAGCAACCCAGGGCGGGCGGCGCUCAAGGUGUGGGAGGAGCUGGUGAACGUCCUGCGCAAGGACGGUGCCAGCCCCGCCGCCGCCUUCGUCCACCGGAAGAAGGUGCAGCACGCCGAGAAGAACAUCCGCGACGCCUUCAUGGCGCUCUACCGCGGCCUCGAGCUGCUCAAGAAGUUCAGUUCUCUGAAUGUAAAGGCCUUCACCAAGAUUCUCAAGAAAUUCGUCAAGGUGUCGGGGCAGCAGCGAGCGACAGACCUUUUCUCGCAGAAGGUGAAGGGAUCAUCGUUCAACACCUCCAACAAGGUUCUUCAGCUGUCGGACGAGGUGGAGUCACUCUUCCUGAAGCACUUUGCGGGCAACGACAAGAUGGUGGCGAUGAAGUACCUCAACCCAAAGCAGCCCAAGAGCACGCACAUGGUCACCUUCCUCGUAGGGUUGUUCACGGGCACAUUUGUGAGUCUAUUCAUCAUAUACACCAUCCUGGCACAUGCUUCCGGCAUUUUCGCCUCUGUCGGAGACACGGCCUACCAUGAAGUAGUCUACCAUGUCUUCAGCAUCUUCGCGCUCAUCAGCCUGCACUGCUUCCUCUAUGGAUGCAACCUGUUCAUGUGGAAGAGCACACGGAUCAACCAGAACUUCAUAUUCGACUUCGUGCCCAACACUGCCCUCACGCACCGGGAUGCCUUCCUCAUGUCCGCCUUCAUCAUGUGCACUGUUGUCACCGUGUUGGUCAUCAACCUCUUCCUCAUAAACGCCGGUGUGCCCUACACCAAUGCCGUGCCAGGGGCUCUCAUAGUCUUGUCGGCCGGACUUUUAUUCUGUCCAUUCAACGUGUUCUACCGCUCGACGCGCUACUGCUUCAUGCGCAUCAUGCGCAAAAUCAUAUUCUCGCCAUUCUACAAGGUUGUGAUGGCCGAUUUCUUCAUGGCUGAUCAGUUAACUAGUCAGAUCCCAUUGCUAAGGCACACGGAGUUUGCAGCGUGCUACUUCAUGGCAGGAAGCUUUAGGGCUUACCCAUAUGAGACUUGUACUAAGAACCAGCAGUACAAACACCUGGCCUAUGUGAUCUCUUUUCUCCCUUACUACUGGAGAGCUAUGCAGUGUUUAAGAAGAUACCUGGAGGAACAUGACGUAAAUCAACUCGCCAACGCUGGGAAGUACGUGUCGGCGAUGGUUGCGGCUGCUGUCAGGCUCAAGUACAAAGCAACACCGACGCCAUUCUGGGUGUGGAUGGUCCUCAUAACGUCCACAGGCACCACGGUGUACCAGCUCUACUGGGACUUUGUCAAGGAUUGGGGCUUUUUCACUCCCAAAUCUAAGAACCUAUGGCUUCGAGAUGAUCUCAUCCUUAAGAACAAGUUCACCUACUACGUUUCCAUGAUGCUAAAUCUAGUGCUUCGGCUAUCAUGGACUAAAAGUGUGAUGAAGAUUUCUAUUACCAAGAAUGAGACUCGCCUACUGGAUUUCUCCCGUGCCUCCCUGGAAAUAAUCCGACGAGGACACUGGAAUUUCUACAGGCUGGAGAACGAACACUUGAACAAUGUCGGCAAGUUCAGAGCAGUGAAGACUGUCCCAUUGCCAUUUCAUGAACUCGAAACCGAUUGA